UACUAUAAUUAAAGUGAAAAUUUUGCCGGAAUAUUAACAGCUAUUUUCUUUAAAUUCAAAGAAUUUGGCGGUAUUUUAGUCCUUUUAGAGGAACCUGUUUCAUAAACGAUAAACCACGAAUAUCUUACCUAUUUUAUGUUUGUAUACCGUCAUUAUCAGAUAACUUUGAUAAAAUUAGUUAUUGAAAUUAAUAUAAGUUAAGAAAAUUAGAUCAAGGUGCAGCUUUAAAUAGGAGAAAAUGGGUUACAAUAAAAAUAGUUUAAAUGGAUUUGUUUAUGAAAAUAAAUAAUGAAGGUGGAUUUAAUUGUAAUAUUAAUAAUUAUAUUUUUUUGAUAUAGGCUCUAAAAUAU
rnacentral:rRNA from 1 species